GUCAUUUUCCGUAAGAGUUAGGUUGUAUGUGAAGAUAUGAACAAUUUUAGGGAGGUUGAUGCAAAUCACCAUGGCUAGAGAUUAGGGUUAGGGUUGACGCCCACACUUUUCUUACUAUAUAUUAGAUGUUCAGUUCAUUUGCAUUUGAUUUCACAGCCGCUGCCCGCUGUCAUAAUCAACCCUGUGAAUCUAUAUCUUCAAACUAUUCAACUACUGUCAUAAUCAGCCCUGUGAAUCUUAAUCCAGCAUUGACACAUGAUGCUGUUUUGAUAAAGUUAUCCAUGUGCGUCUUUUUCGGUCACGAUAAUCACCAGGACUUCUAUGUGUCGAUUUCAAAAAAAAAAUUCUCUAUCAUGCACAUAGAUCCGAAAAGUAGCAAAGAUCCGCAUGAUUUUAAAUCAAAAAACAUUCUAGUUGAAUCAGAUCGGUACCAGUUAAGUGUUCAUAGCAUUUCAAGAGUCGGUUUUGUUUAUAAAACGUUACCCUUUCCAUGUGUGAAAGGGAAUUUCAUACAGGGUGUUUGAGGGAACACAAGAAGAUCUAUCUGAAGGUGUGUUUUCAUUUUGGAGGGAUCGGAAUCGGAAUCACAUAUUCCGAUGUGAGGUGGAUUGUUUUCCUUGGGAAAGAUGUUUCUGAUGACAAUAAUAGCACUCCAAAGAACAUCUUUGUUAGAACAUCUCUCUUAGAAAAAGAUGAAGUGGUGCUUCAAGGUGGAGUAACUUUUCAAGAUGGUUUUUCUUUAGUCUUUUGAUUGAGUUGUAAAGUAAGCAAUGAAUGAAUAAUAAAUGCCAAAAAUUGAUAUCAAUGGUGGCAUUUCAAGAUGGUUUUGUUUGAAUGUGGAGUUACUUUUCAAGAUGGUUUUAUUUUAGUCUUUUGACUGAGUUGUAAAGUAAGCAAUCAAUUAAUAAUAAAUGCCAAAAAUUGAUAUCAAUGGUGGCAUUUUAAAGAACAUCUUUGUUAGAAAAGGAGGUGGUGGGCCUCAAGGUGGAGAUACUUUUCAAGAUGUUUUUGUUUUAGUCUUAUGAGUAUGUAUUAAAGUAAGCAAUGAAUGAAUGAAUAAUGAAUACCAUUUUUGU